UACGGGGGGGGGCAAGCGUUGUUCGGAAUUACUGGGCGUAAAGGGCGCGUAGGCGGCCUACUAAGUCGGACGUGAAAUCCCUCGGCUCAACCGAGGAACUGCGUCCGAUACUGGUGGGCUUGAAUCCGGGAGAGGGAUGUGGAAUUCCAGGUGUAGCGGUGAAAUGCGUAGAUAUCUGGAGGAACACCGGUGGCGAAGGCGGCAUCCUGGACCAUUACUGACGCUGAGGCGCGAAAGCUAGGGGAGCAAACGGGG
rnacentral:rRNA from 1 species